GACGAGCGCUGGCGGCGUGCUUAACACAUGCAAGUCGAGCGGUAAGGCCCUUUCGGGGGUACACGAGCGGCGAACGGGUGAGUAACACGUGGGUGACCUGCCCUCAGCUCUGGGAUAAGCCUGGGAAACCGGGUCUAAUACCGGAUAUGACUCCAUGACGCAUGUUGUGGGGUGGAAAGCCUUGUGCGGCUGAGGAUGGGCCCGCGGCCUAUCAGCUUGUUGGUGGGGNGAUGGCCUACCAAGGCGACGACGGGUAGCCGGCCUGAGAGGGCGACCGGCCACACUGGGACUGAGACACGGCCCAGACUCCUACGGGAGGCAGCAGUGGGGAAUCUUG
rnacentral:rRNA from 1 species